UCUGAAUUAGCUCAGUCGGUAGAGCGCCAGUCUGUUAAACUGUGGGUCCCGAGUUCAAGUCUCGGAUUCAGAGCCA
rnacentral:tRNA from 1 species